CCUGACCGAGAACAAACUCCACUCGCCCCAAUUAGCCCAUAAAACGAGCGUGCGGGCACUAAACCAACCACAGGGGCAAGAUGCACGAGCCAAGGAUCCCGCUACAGGUCCCUCUUGGUUGUUGCCCCAAAUGCCAUCGAUAGCAUCUGGCCCUUGGUUGGUCAAGACUGGGAAUGCACUAUGUAUGCCUAAGUCAACCCACAAAACAAGUGUGCGGGCACUAAGCUGGUCGGAGAGCCAGAAUACACAAGCUAGGGAUCGACCCAGUCCCCCUCGAUGUGCUACGGAUCCUGCUAGAAAUCCCUCGGUCUGGUUGGGGCUUGAGACUAGGAAUAAACUUUGUAUGCCUAAGUCAACCCACAAAACAAACGUGCAGGUGUUGAGCUGACCAGAAAGGCAGAAUGCGCAAGCCAAGGAUUGGCCUGAUCCCUUUUUGGGUGAUGCUGAUCCUGCUACAGGUCCCUCGAUCCGACUGUGGCUUAGACUGGGAAUGAACUCUGUAUGCCUAAGUCAACCCAUGAAACAAGUGUGCGGGCACUGAGCCGACCAUAGAGGUAGGAUGUGCAAGUCAAGGAUCGACUCGGUUCUCUUUUACGUGCUGUCGAUCCUGCUGUGGGUCCUGCUACCUCAACUUUGGUUCAGUCUGAGCUUAACUGUGAAUGAACUCCGUAUGCUUAAAUAGGAAUAAACUUCGUUUGCCUAAGUCAACCACGAAAUUGAGGGUACGAGCACUGAGUCGACUAGAGAGGUAGGAUGCGCAAGCUGAGGUUAGCCCAGUCCCUUCUGCUUACUAUCGAUCUUGCUGCAGGUUCUGCUACCAUAACCCUUGGUUCAGUCUGAUCUUAAACUGGGAAUGAACUUUGUACGCCUAAGUCAACCUACGAAACAAGCGGGUGGGGCACUACGUCGAACAGAAAGGCAAGAUGCGCAAGCUGAGGAUUGGUCGGGUUCCCCUCUGUUUGCUGUCGAUCCUGCUGCCACAACCCUCAGUCUUAUCAGAGCUUAGAUUGGGAAUGAACUCCAUAUGCCAAAGCCAUUUUUGUGGGCCAUGAAUUCAUAUGAGCCCUCCCUAACUCUCGCGCACCAUGCGUGGGUGUCCUGAGCUCGGGCCGAGCACCAAUGCAUGCCAUGAUCAGGUGGUAGGUGGGUUUAGGCACAUCUUCAUAUUUCUGUCAUGCCAAUACUAUUUUUAUGGCCUAUGAAAUCACAUAAGUACUCCCUAAUGCCCAAACACCACGCACGGGUGUCUUGAGCCUGAGUCGAGCACUAUACGUGCCACGAUCGGGUGGUAGGUGGGUUUAGGCACAUCUAGAAACGACUCAAUCGGAGGUAGGGUCCAAUGGUCGAAAGAGCAUCGCAUGUCGCAUGGUGUCCGGUGCACCCUUGAUAGCCCUUGAAAAUCCAAAGGAUCGAGUGCCGUCUGUGCCCGGUCCUACUCAUAAUCACAUCAGGUCUCCAAGGUGAAUAGCCUAAGGUCGAUGAACAAAAUAGGCAAGGGAAGUCAACAAAAUGGAUCCAUAACCUUGAAGAAAAGAUUUUGCUCUGAGGGUUGGGAACAGAGGUCCUAGGCCCAAACCCAUUGGUUGUUGGUGCACUGUUCAAGCUACUCUCGUGGUGAGAGCAAGUCAUCACGUGUCAGUCGGGGGGACAGAUUGGAACGGCUCCCUCUGGGCCUUUUUCGGGGUGAAUGAACAGUCGACUUUAGAACUGAUAUGAAAAAGGGGAAUCUGACUGUUUAAUAAAACAAAGCAUUAUGAUGGUCCCUGUGGAUGCUCAUGCAAUGUGAUUUUGCCCAGUGCUCUGAAUGUUUAAAGUGAAGAAAUUCAACCAAGCAUGGGUAAACAGCUGGGAGUAACUAUGACUCUGUUAAGGUAGCCAAAUGCCUCGUCAUCUAAUUAGUGACAUGCAUGAAUGGAUUAACGAGAUUCCCACUAUCCCUAUCUACUAUCCAAUGAAACCAUAGCCAAGGGAACGGGCUUGAUAGAAUUAGUGAGGAAAGAAGACCCUGUUGAGUUUGACUUUAGUCUGACUUUGUGAAAUGACUUGAGAGGUGUAGGAUAAGUGGAAGCCCCCGGGCGAAAUUGAAAUACCAUUACUUCUAACUUUAUUUUACUUAUUUCAUGAAUCAGAGGUAGGGCACGACCCCUUGUUUUAGAUCGAAGGCCAACCUCGAGCUGUCGAUCCAACGGUAGACAUUGUCAGGUGGGGAGUUUGGCUGGGACGAGACAUCUGUUAAAAGAUAAUGCAGGUGUCCUAAGAUGAGCUCAACGAGAAUAAAAAUCUCAUGUGGAACAAAAGCGUAAAAACUCAUUUGAUUCUGAUUUCCAAUAUGAAUAUGAACCAUGAAAGCGUGGCCUAUCGAUCCUUUAGACCUUCGAGAUUUGAGAGGUGUCAGAAAAGUUACCACAGGGAUAACUGGCUUGUGGCAGCCAAGCGUUCAUAGCGACGUUGCUUUUUGAUCCUUCGAUGUCGGCUCUUCCUAUCAUUGUGAAGUAGAAUUCACCAAGUGUUGGAUUGUUCACCCACAAAUAGGGAACGUGAGUUAGAUUUAGAUCAUUGAAAGACAGGUUAGUUUUACCUUACUGAUGGUGACAUCAUGAUAGUAAUUCAACCUAGUACGAGACGAACCAUUGAUUCGCACAAUUGGUCAUCACGCUUGGUUGAAAAGCUAGUGGCACGAAGCUACCAUGCACUGGAUUAUGACUGAACACCUCUAAGUUAAAAUCUGGGCUAAAAGCAACAUGCUCAUCCACCACCCAACUGUUGACCCACAGUAGAGUCUCAUGGCCCCAAAAGGCACAUGCUGGAGGUGCACCCCCAUGGCGGACGAGCCUCGCGGGCCUCUUUAAAGCUCAAUUCCCAUCGAGUGAUGGGUAAAAUCCUUUAUAGAUGACUUAAAUACGUGAUGGGGUAUUGUAAGUGACAUAGUGGCCUUGCUACCACGAUCCACUGAGAUUUAGCCCUUUGUCACUUCAGUUCGUCCCUCCCUC
rnacentral:rRNA from 1 species